AUUGAACGCUAGCGGGAUGCUUUACACAUGCAAGUCGAACGAGUGGCGGACGGGUGAGUAAUAUAUCGGAACGUGCCCAGGAGCGGGGGAUAACUACUCGACAGAGUGGCUAAUACCGCAGAAUUUUGGAUCGGCCGAUAUCGGAUUAGCUAGUUGGUGGGGUAAUGGCUCACCAAGGCAACGAUCCGUAGCGGGUUUGAGAGGACGCCCAGGCAGACGGGGACUGAGACACGGCCCAGACGCCGACGGGAGGCAGCAGUGGGGAAUUUUGGACAAUGGGGGAAACCCGGAUACAGCAAUACCGAGUGUAUGAGAAGGCCUUCGGGUGGUAAAGUACUUUUGGCAGAGAAGCGGUAUCUGCAGAAUAAGCACCGGCUAACUACGUGCCAGCAGCCGCGGUAAUAC
rnacentral:rRNA from 1 species